CCUACGGGUGGCAGCAGUGAGGAAUAUUGGUCAAUGGGAGAGAUCCUGAACCAGCCAAGCCGCGUGAGGGAAGACGGCCCUAUGGGUUGUAAACCUCUUUUGUCGGAGAACAAAACCCGGGACGUGUCCCGGACUGCGUGUAUCCGAAGAAAAAGCAUCGGCUAACUCCGUGCCAGCAGCCGCGGUAAUAGGGAGGAUGAGAGCGUUAUCCGGAUUUAUUGGGGUUAAAGGGUGGGUAGGCGGGCCGUUAAGUCAGCGGGAAAAUUGCGGGGCUAAACCAUGUCGAGCCGUUGAAACUGGGCGACUUGAGUUGGCGAGAAGUACGCGGAAUGCGCGGUGUAGCGGUGAAAUGCAUAGAUAUCGCGCAGAACUCCGAUUGCGAAGGCAGCGUACCGGCGCCAGACUGACGCUGAGGCACGAAAGCGUGGGGAUCGAACAGGAUUAGAUACCCUGGUAGUC
rnacentral:rRNA from 1 species